AGUGUAGAGCUGAGGGAAAAAAUGAGGGCAUGAGGGAAGGAGCACAGGACAGGUGUUGAGGGAAGUAUAUUUAGCCUACCGUACAGGGAAUAUAACAAGUGGGGUCUGUGAUAAUUUUCUCUCCUUGCUUGUUUCAAAAGGUGAUGCUCGGGCUGAUAUCUGCCGCACAGUGUGAUUUAUGCCACAGAAAUAUUUUCAGUCAACUGAGAUAUCUCAUCUGGAUGCAGUGUCCAUUAGUAGUCUUUUCGCUCAAGGUACAACUACAAGACAAUAUCACCAGAUGGGAUCAUCAGAACCCAUUUACAACUGCUCUACUUUUUGAAAAUAAGGCAAUUGUCUCAGGUAUGAAUUCAUUACAGGCCUACUGUAACUAAUAGAAGCUGAUGAUGGCUUUUCUGAAAACCUAUAGAAUGUCAAAUGGGAGUUGUUUCUACUUUACAAAUGUGCUAGGCUCAAAAUGCAAAGGAAAAGAUGCACAAAGCAAUGCUUAUUAUCUAUUCACUCAGUUACGACUGUUUAAGGUACUCAUGAAACCCAUUGUUUGUCUAUUUCUAUACAUAUAUGGUGUUAUUCCAUAAGUGACACCAAAGACACACUCUCUGUAUAUAUUGAACAUCAAAGUGGAAAAGUCAAUUAAAUGGCCAUAUGGUACUUUUUUGUUUAGGUUUUCAACAUGAACGAAACAUUUCUCCAACUUUGAAUUUAUUGUGAGAGCUUUAGAGAAAGAAUAAUACCUGGUUGAAUUUUGAGAUUUCAUUGAGAAAAGUAAAAAUAAGCUCUGUGCUGUAAAUUUUGUAUUACAUUUUAUUGUUUUAAAAAUAACAACCGGGAUGUAGAUGCUAUGGUACACUCUGUGUGUGUGUGUGUGUGUGUGUGUGUGUGUGUGUGUGUGUAUGUUAUCUGUAUAUUAGAAAACGAUUCUAAUAAUUUUUUUUUGUUUAAAAAGAAAAUACUAAAGGUAGUAGUAGUAUCAUGGCUUUUGAAUUUCUUCAGAUCCCCAUACCAAAAUGACGAGAGGAACUAGAUGGUGAAACUGAAACCCCCUUGAUAAUACGUAUAACAAAACUAGAUGAAAAGCUGCCCACAAAAACAAGCAGGUAGGGACAAACUACCACAGCACAAGGUGUUCCUGGGGUCAUUGCCAGCAAAGAAGAAAGCAGAGAGAAGCAACAGAUAUUUAGUGGACCAUAAUACAAGAGAAUCCCCAAAUAGCCCCCAGGAAUCCCCUGGACGUUUGGUGUUUGAACUUGAGAGCAGCAGCUGAACAGGGAGGUGUUUACCUGAUCCAACAGGUGAGUUCAAGGGCCUGACGUUAAGGUAAGAAGGGGACAGAGCAGACCAACUCCUAUGAUCUGGGACCCACUGUGAGGAGAA
rnacentral:lncRNA from 1 species